rnacentral:rRNA from 1 species
UACGUAGGGGGCAAGCGUUAUCCGGAUUCACUGGGUGUAAAGGGAGCGCAGGCGGUACGGCGAGUCUGAUGUGAAAACCCGGGGCCCAACCCCGGGACCGCGCCGGAUACUGCCGGACUCGAGUGCCGGAGGGGCAGGCGGAAUUCCUGGUGUAGCGGUGAGAUGCGCAGAUAUCAGGAGGAACACCGGUGGCGAAGGCGGCCUGCUGGACGGUAACUGACGCUGAGGCUCGAAAGCGUGGGGAGCGAACAGG